rnacentral:rRNA from 1 species
UGGCGGCGUGCCUAAUACAUGCAAGUCGAACGGUCUUUCUAUGGAAGCUUGCUUCCACUGAGAAGAUAGUGGCGAACGGGUGAGUAACACGUGGGUAACCUGCCCAUAAGAGGGGGAUAACAUCCGGAAACGGGUGCUAAUACCGCAUAGUUUUCUUGAUCGCAUGAUUGAGAAAGGAAAGACGGCCUUUGUGCUGUCGCUUAUGGAUGGACCCGCGGCGUAUUAGUUAGUUGGUGAGGUAACGGCUCACCAAGACGAUGAUACGUAGCCGACCUGAGAGGGUGAUCGGCCACAUUGGGACUGAGACACGGCCCAAACUCCUACGGGAGGCAGCAGUAGGGAAUCUUCCGCAAUGGACGAAAGUCUGACGGAGCAACGCCGCGUGAGUGAAAGAAGGUUUUCGGAUCGUAAAACUCUGUUGUCAGAGAAGAACAAGUUGGAGAGUAACUGCUCCAGCCUUGACGGUAUCUGACCAGAAAGCCACGGCUAACUACGUGCCAGCCGCGGC